rnacentral:tRNA from 1 species
GCACCCCUAGCUCAAUGGAUAGAGCAUCGGUCUACGGAACCGAAGGUUGCAGGUUCGACCCCUGCGGGGUGCG